CGGGGAUGGUGCUGAAGUCUGCGGCUCCGGGAAGCAGGGUCUCCUCACUCUCCUCCGACACGUCAGAGGCCGGCGUGAUGGGUCUCACGUCUGCAUGUUUCUUCAGGUCAGACUUCCAGUUGCAGCUCAUAGAAAUCAGGGCCUCGACAGCCUCGUAAUCGCCCUUCUCGGGGGUGUUGUUCCAGAAAUACCGAGCAUCUCCCUGCUUCUCAGUCAUCACCUCCAUUUCUUCCUCCGCGCGCCGUGCCGGGACCCCGCGCCGCCGCCGCCGGCCGUGCCCGCGCCGAUUUUCCUCUUUUUGUCCGCCGCUCCCCAUUCAGGUGGCGGCGGCUCCAGCGCCCCGCGCGGGCGGGCGGGGCGUCGUUCUCCCGGCAGCCAAUCGGCGGCAAAGGUGUGUGAGGCGGCCGCCAAUGGGCGCGGGGCGCCCCGCGCGUGAUCGGCGGCUGCCCCGCGGCGUGGCCCGGCUGUCGGCGCGGCGUGGCCCGGCCGUCGGCGCGGCGUGCGCGCUCCCGCCGUCAUCCCGGCGGCUGAGUCAGUGCAUCCGGGCGGGGGCGGCCGCCGCCUCGCCGUGAGGUCACGCGGCCCCCCGCCCCACCCCGCGGCGCGGAGGCGGCGCCGGGGGGAUUCCCUGGCCUCGUCCCCGGGCCCGGCGUGCCCCGCCGCCCCCGAUCGGGGGGUCACGGCUCAGCGGCGCUGCGCCCCGGCUGUGUGCUGCGGCCUCGGCGGCACCGGGGAGUCACCCGCGGUGCGGCCCCGCAGCGUCCGCUCCGCCCGUGUAAACGAACGCAGUGUGCGGUAUGAAAUGCCGUUCGCCUUUUCAGUCAGCCGCCGUGGCGCGGUACUGGCGGUACGUGCUGCUGAGGUGGUCGUGCAGUACGGGUCUGGAAGUGAGCGGCGCUUUGCGGCUCCUCGCAGGAAGGACGUGGAAGCGCUGGGGUGUGUGCACAGAAGGGCAGCGAAACGGAAGGGUCUGCAGCACGGGUCUUGUGGGAGCGGCUGAGGAGCUGGGGUUGUCCGGUCUGGAGAAGGGGAGGCUCAGGGGAGGCCUCGUUGCUCUCUCCGGCUGCCUGGAAGGAGGUUGUGGUGGGUCGGGGGUCGGCCUCUUCUCCCAGGUAACAGCGAUAGGAUGAGAGGCGAGGGCUGCUGUGAGGGCUGGGCGCUGAGAGCGGUGCUUGGCUGGGAACUGGGCAGCGAAAACUGACCGGAGGCGGUAGCGAUGCAGCCGGGGCUGAGGGACCGUGAAGAAGAGGGGGCUUUGUGCCAGACGGAUAGGCUUCGUGUGCCCGAGGCCCUGCCAUCCUGGUGACGUGUCCUGGAGCAGCAUUUCAGGCCUCUGGGCUGAACUGGGAGGAGCAGCCCUCGGAAAGGAGAGACCAAACUGCUCUUUGGCUCCUGCACCCCAUGGGAGCUCCGUUCCCCACACACCCCUGGCAUCCACGGAGGUACAGCUGCUCAUCUUGCUGCAAACCCUCCCUGUGUGUUGGACUGCUCUUUCCUUCCCCGCUCCUUCCCUGCUGUGCAGGCUGAGACUGUCUACAACCGCCUCUCCCAAAAAUAAUCCCUGCUUCAGAGGCUGGAAAACGUGACAGUUUAUCUUCAUGUGCAGAGCAGAAGCUAUUUGUAAUUAGCUUUAAGGCUGUCAUUUAUUUUACCAGCCUGAUUUCCACACCAAGCGGAUCGUGCGUGGCUGGCAGUGCUGUGUUCCUCCCCAUCCUACACAAGACCAACCCAGCAUUGCAUGGAUGAGUUCAGCACAGCGUUGCUCACAGCCCCAUCUCCUCUUCAGAGUGUUUUGUUUGCCCCCGAGUCCAUGCAGCCAUCAUCAUGCCUUGCCUGCGGGUCACUGUGUGGAAGGCUCCAGAGGGUGUUGGCAAUGCUGUUGUUGACGUGGCUGCCAUGGCGGCGGGGGGAAGCAGACACCCCUAAUGAAGCCCAAGGCGAGUAAGAGGCACUUCUUUUUGGCAGAUGAGCAGUUUUCAGUAAAAAUGCUUUUCCCCUUGGCAGCCAGUGGAAGAAUCUGAGCUACGGCUGUCAGAUCAAAUGUGUGUGCUUUCCCUUCGGCCUCCCAGGGAAGAUAGGGAUGUGGUUUUACACCAUCCUGGAGUAACCUGAUGUGUUUGCUUCUCAUUCUGAAGGCGUUUGGGAGUUUAACAUUAGACAUUUAGCCCUUGUGGGUUAUUUAUUUAUGCCUCUUACACUAUAUCUUAUGUUUCCUAGUAAACCACUUGCUCAGCCUGCAUUUCAUGUAUUUCUGAUGUGGAAAGAUGAAUUGUUGUGGGAUUGGGAUGAUAAAUGAGGAAAGAGAAUUGGCAACAAGACUGGAAAAUCGCUGGCCAACUAGGUAACUUCUAUCCAGCAGUCUAAGCCUGAAUUUCAGCACGCUCCGUUACCUGUGGCUUACCUUGGCUUUGUCAUACAGAAUUUACAAGGAGCCGUAAGUGGCUCCUUUAUCCUACAGACUGGGCUUCUACAUGCUGACCAGCAAGAAGCCGUACUGCACUUAUGAAAGGGCAUGAAUGAUUAUUUUAAACCUCCGUGUUGGAUGAGUACUUCUAUGGGUGUCGUGAUUUAAUGAACCACUUUGAAUAUAAGCCAAUGAUCAAUAUAAAGCACUGUUAAAAAAAAAAUCAGAUACUUAGAAACUGAACUAAGAUUAAGCACUGUAGAGUGAGCUUGUGCAGCUGACAAAGCCACCUGUCCAUGCUGUGAUGUGUUUUUCCCGAUGGAAGCACUGGAAAUACAUUUGUUUGCUUUUUCGUGCCCAAACUGAUCUUACUCGUUGCACAGUGACUGAAUAGCUGCUGCAUUUCCAGGAUAAAUUCCAGAGGCAAGCAGAUGGUGAUGUGACCAGAGCAGUUCAUUUGACAUACUAAUGUGGUAUGGAAGUCAGCAGGGACUUUCCUUCUCCUAACAAAGGUAACAGCGUUUCUGCACCUCCAAAUAUAGAUAUUUUGAUAAUAGUCAUAUGAACAAAGGUCCUUCUUUUCUUUAAGCCUACCUGCACUUUCUAACUUUUGAAUUGCUGAAUAGUUUCAGCCACACAAAACAGAUAAAGUAGAGCAAAGCUAUCAGUAAAUGUAAUGUUGCAGGAACGAUUAACAGCUCUGUGAUGCUAAGAUUUGAUCCAACUCCCACUGCAUGUGUGUUAGUUCAUACUCAAGCAAGUGAAUAGUUUCUGAAUAGGGAAAUGCAGGUACAGAAGUGCAGGCAGUUCCUCAUGCGGUACAGGCUGUACUGCAUCCACUUUGACUCCUUGCACCCAGUACAACCCUCCAGUAUGUCUUGGCAAGCCUUGAGCUCUCACGUCCCACUGCCACCUCUUGUCAAAUGCCUCUGCUCAUAUCAUGGUGCAAAAUACACCACUGGCGUGCUGUUAAGCAAUCAUCUCACUGUUAGUAACUGAUUUCUUUUUUCCUUGAGACGUCACAGAACUAAGGGCAUACUUUAGGGACCCGUGGAGCUCAAGGCCUUGUGUCUCAUUUAAAGAGAUGUCAUAAGAGUAAUGGCUUUGCCAUACAGAUAGCUCAGAUAGCCUUUGGCAACACAGCAAGAAUUGAGCAAUACUUUUUUUUUUUUUUUAAUUAAAAAAAAAAAAAGCCUCUGUGAAAGCCUGUUUUGGUGCUGCACAGUGCAAGUAUCUCAGCUGUAUCAGAGUCAUGCAGGGCUGCAGGGUAGAUCCCUGUUUAAUGUCUGGGUGGACAGUGUGCAAGUAGUGAUGACUUGGUCAGUGGGAGGGAACCCUGGCAGUGAGAUUGCCCUCAAGACAAAAAAAGCUUGCCUAAAGUGCUUGUUAGGUGUGGCAGCCCCUGAACUUUGCCAAAGCUACUCAACCCCGGAGGCUUUCACGCAGGUAACACAGGAGCAGGUCCAUGGAAAUGGGAGGAGCAGUGAUUAUGUGGGGAGUGUGCAGGGAGUGGGAAGGGUGUUUGCCUUCGGUCCUCCAGUUGUUUUAGUGCCUCAGGCAGAGGCAGGAGAUGGCACAGAGCACAACAGUGUGAGACCUGUCCUGACCACCUGCAUGGCAGCAGGCUGCUGGCAUCUGGCUGCUCCCUCAACUCCUCCCUGCGGCUCGCUUUGGUCCUGCAGCCCAGAUUGCAGGGCACGCACCUCAUUCCUGAAGCUCAGCAUGGGGGUGUGGGCCUCAGCUCUGCAUCUCACUGUUGGAGAUGUACACCUUGGUCUCACGGCUCAUUGCUGUCGUGAUUCAAGCUCCUCUGUCCCACAGCAUCCUUGGAGGCACACCACACCUCAGUCCCACCAAGACUCACUCUGCAGGA
rnacentral:lncRNA from 1 species